UACGUAGGGGGCAAGCGUUGUCCGGAAUCAUUGGGCGUAAAGCGCGUGUAGGCGGCUUGGUAAGUCCGCUCUGAAAGCCCGGGGCUCAACCCCGGGAGGCGGGUGGAUACUGUCAAGCUUGAGUCCUGAAGAGGCGAGUGGAAUUCCCGGUGUAGCGGUGAAAUGCGCAGAUAUCGGGAGGAACACCAAUGGCGAAGGCAGCUCGCUGGGACGUGACUGACGCUGAGACGCGAAAGCGUGGGGAGCAAACAGG
rnacentral:rRNA from 1 species